UGGGGAAUAUUGGACAAUGGGCGCAAGCCUGAUCCAGCCAUGCCGCGUGAGUGAUGAAGGCCCUAGGGUUGUAAAGCUCUUUCACCGGUGAAGAUAAUGACGGUAACCGGAGAAGAAGCCCCGGCUAACUUCGUGCCAGCAGCCGCGGUAAUACGAAGGGGGCUAGCGUUGUUCGGAUUUACUGGGCGUAAAGCGCACGUAGGCGGACUUUUAAGUCAGGGGUGAAAUCCCGGGGCUCAACCCCGGAACUGCCUUUGAUACUGGAAGUCUUGAGUAUGGUAGAGGUGAGUGGAAUUCCGAGUGUAGAGGUGAAAUUCGUAGAUAUUCGGAGGCACACCAGUGGCGAAGGCGGCUCACUGGACCAUUACUCACGCUGAGGUGCGAGAGCGUGGGGAGCAAACAGG
rnacentral:rRNA from 1 species